AACGCGAAGAACCUUACCAGGUCUUGACAUCCCUCUGACGUAUGGGUAAAGCCGUAUUUCUUUCGGGACAGAGGAGACAGGUGGUGCAUGGUUGUCGUCAGCUCGUGUCGUGAGAUGUUGGGUUAAGUCCCGCAACGAGCGCAACCCUUAUCCUUAGUAGCCAGCGAGUGAAGUCGGGCACUCUAGGGAGACUGCCGGGGAUAACCCGGAGGAAGGUGGGGAUGACGUCAAAUCAUCAUGCCCCUUAUGAUCUGGGCUACACACGUGCUACAAUGGCGUAAACAAAGGGAAGCGAGAUAGUGAUAUGGAGCGAAACCCAAAAAUAACGUCCCAGUUCGGAUUGCAGGCUGCAACCCGCCUGCAUGAAGCUGGAAUCGCUAGUAAUCGCGGAUCAGAAUG
rnacentral:rRNA from 1 species